rnacentral:rRNA from 1 species
ACUCAAAGGAAUUGACGGGGGCCCGCACAAGCGGCGGAGCAUGCGGAUUAAUUCGAUGCAACGCGAAGAACCUUACCUGGGUUUGACAUGCGCCGGAAAGCUCUAGAGAUAGAGCCCCUUUUAGUCGGUGUACAGGUGGUGCAUGGCUGUCGUCAGCUCGUGUCGUGAGAUGUUGGGUUAAGUCCCGCAACGAGCGCAACCCUCGUUCCAUGUUGCCAGCAGCAUUCCCUGCCCUUUGGGUGAUGGGGUGGCUGGGGACUCAUGGGAGACUGCCGGGGUCAACUCGGAGGAAGGUGGGGAUGACGUCAAGUCAUCAUGCCCCUUAUGUCCAGGGCUUCACGCAUGCUACAAUGGCCGGUACAAAGGGCUGCGAUCCCGUGAGGGGGAGCGAAUCCCAAAAAGCCGGUCUCAGUUCGGAUUGGGGUCUGCAACUCGACCCCAUGAAGUCGGAGUCGCUAGUAAUCGCAGAUCAGCAACGCUGCGGUGAAUACGUUCCCGGGCCUUGCACACACCGCCCGU